ensembl:lncRNA
GCGAACCCGCUACUGUGGACUAUCAUCAUCACCAUCAUCGGAAUCAUCGCAGUGGCAAUGGGAGUCAGGACAUGGAUGCUAGCCGGAGGAUCUCCGCAGGGUCCUUGCAUCCCAGAAUUGUUCAUGCCGUUGAUUUCAAACCGUUACUUGGCUAUCCUUGGAUUCUCAAACAGCCCAGCAAGAGCUCAUGCCUCCCUCCUAAAGACUUUAAGGCUUCCAGCUGUCAUUACUUUCUCUAAAACCAACCAAUGGACCAUUGAGAGCCAAGCCAGCACUAACCGGUAUUUUUGGACAGUGGAAGCUCUGAGUUGCCACCGAACGAGGGUAAACCUUUCCAAAAACACAGAGGAUAUUCUUAUUUUGUAUUGA